ensembl:lncRNA
GUCACAUGGUGGCUCCGAGAGAGAUUCUCGCAUAAAAUAGAGGUAGCCAUUACGGUAGCCAUUACUCCAAUCGGUCCAAAGAGAAAAAGGAAUUGUCCCGAUGGAUAUAUUAACGAUUAGAUAUUAGAAAAACACCUUGAGGAUGGAUUCUAAACAACGUUUGCCAUGUUUCUGUCGAUAUUAUGGAGCUAAUUUGGAAUAUUUUUCGGAGUUGUGGUGACCGCAAUUUCCGGGCGAUUGCUCAGCCAAAUGUGAACAAACGGAGCUAUUUCGCCUACAAAAAUAAUCUUUUGGGAAAAAAAUUAACUUUGGCUGUCUACCUGGGAGUCUCGUGAGUGAAAACAUCCGAAGUUCAUCAAAGGUUAUGAAACUCUAUCGUCUGAGGCUGCAGCAAUAUCCCUUGACUGUACCUGAAACGAGACAAGAUCACCGGUGAAGUGCAACCGGCGGAACGGAAGAAGAAUUCCUCAAUACCGUCAGACUGUCAGAAUAGUUACCUAUGUGGGACUGAUACCAGUGUGGAAGAGCUGGUCACCUUUAAAGGACUUGGUGAAUGAUUACAUUGACAAUAGGAAGAUUGAAUAUUAUUGUCUUGCAGACAAGUGAAACAUGUUUGAAAUUAUUCUCCUUGUGAAUUUCCUCCUAAUACAGGAUGUGGAUUGUGUUUCCAUUUCUAACACAGAGAAGGAUGAGGGACACUCGGGCGUCAAUACAUUUCUGGUGCUUUCUUUACACUAUGCCACGGUAGUCAAAGUAGUUGUGGGGUUUGUACGCAUGCGGAAUAUCCCAUGUCUGUUGAAUUGACUCUCAGUAAUAACACUAUGACUACUUUUUAUGCCAAUAACCUUCAGUAAUAUCAUCAAUAAUGCUACGAUAGGUCCUAAUGGGACUUACUUUAUCUGUGGAUCCUAUGCCUAUUCCUGGUUACCAAAGUUGUGACGAGGGUCGUGUUAUUUGGGAUAUGUUGUACCCCAAGUAAGAUAUUCUGUGAAUUCACCUUUUUCACACCGUGAUAAACAUGUGAUUACAGAAACAGAGAUUCUUUGCGAUUGCUUUUCCUUCUUAUGGUAUUUCUAAAAUAACACGGGAAGUUAUUAAUAUGGCUAACUCUUUGGAUAUCCUAGCUAAUAGUACAACUGAGAGUCUUGAGUUAAUUACAGCUGAGAUGGUUGCCAUUCGGACUGUGGCAAUGGAAAAUUGUUUGGCCCUUGACUAUCUUCUCUCCGCAAGAGGGGUUACAUGUGCUGUCAUUGGUGCUGAAUGCUGUACUUACAUUCCUGAUGAAAUAACUAACCUAAUCCAAAAGAUCAGGAUUAUGAUAUUCAGAUGAUCCAGAUGAUUUAGGCUUAGUUACGUGGUUGUCUUCCACAUUCUGUACAUGGGGAAGAUUUUUGGUGGGCAUGAUACUUCCAAUAGUGGGAGCUGUGGUUAUUUUUCUUAUCCUCAUCCAGGUUAUCAAGUGUGCUAUUGCCCGAUGUUUGUCUGCUAAAAUCAGACUGUUACGUGAUAGGGGAUAUCAAAAGAUUCAUCAACCGUGUCCUUUUUGAGAUGGGUGUCAGUGGUGUUCACAAGAACGUGGUUGGGAUCAUAAGGGUCUUCAUCACACCAAGCCUCAUGAUUGUGUGCCUGUGGUAACUGUCUUUGGGGCUGUAACCAAAUCAAAUCAAAUCAAACGUAUUUAUAUAGCCCUUCGUACAUCAGCUGAUAUCUCAAAGUGCUGUACAGAAACCCAGCCUAAACCCCCAAACAGCAAGCAAUGCAGGUGUAGAAGCACGGUGGCUAGGAAAAACUCCCUAGAAAGGACAAAACCUAUGAAGAAACAUAGAGAGGAACCAGGCUAUGUGGGGUGGCCAGUCCUCUUCUGGCUGUGCCGGGUGGAGAUUAUAACAGAACAUGGCCAAGAUGUUCAAAUGUUCAUAAAUGACCAGCAUGGUUGAAUAAUAAUAAGGCAGAACAGUUGAAACUGGAGCAGCAGCACGGUCAGGUGGACUGGGGACAGCAAGGAGUCAUCAUGUCAGGUAGUCCUGGGGCAUGGUCCUAGGGCUCAGGUCCUCUGAGAGAGAGAAAGAAAGAGAGAAUUAGAGAGAGCAUAUGUGGGGUGGACAGUCCUCUUCUGGCUGUGCCGGGUGGAGAUUAUAACAGAACAUGGCCAAG